rnacentral:rRNA from 1 species
CCUACGGGUGACAGCAGUGAGGAAUAUUGGUCAAUGGCCGUAAGGCUGAACCAGCCAAGUAGCGUGAAGGAUGACGGCCCUAUGGGUUGUAAACUUCUUUUAUAGGGGAAUAAAACGUGCCACGUGUGCCUUUUGGCAUGUACUUUAUGAAUAAGGAACGGCUAACGCCGUGCCAGCAGCCGCGGGAAUACGGAGGAUCCGAGCGUUAUCCGGAUUGAUUGGGUGUAAAGGGAGCGUAGAUGGGUUGUUAAGUCAGUUGUGAAAGUGUGCGGCUCAACCGUAAAAUUGCAAUUGAUACUGGCAGUCUUGAGUACAGUUGAGUUAGGCGGAAUUCGUGGUGUAGCGGU